rnacentral:rRNA from 1 species
UACGAAGGGGGCUAGCGUUGCUCGGAAUCACUGGGCGUAAAGCGCACGUAGGCGGAUUGCUAAGUCAGGGGUGAAAUCCUGGAGCUCAACUCCAGAACUGCCUUUGAUACUGGCGAUCUCGAGUUCGGGAGAGGUGAGUGGAACUGCGAGUGUAGAGGUGAAAUUCGUAGAUAUUCGCAAGAACACCAGUGGCGAAGGCGGCAUCCUGGACCGGCAUUGACGCUGAGGCGCGAAAGCCAGGGGAGCAAACGGG